GGAAAGGACUGCAGCCGGGGAGAGCAGCACGCGCCAUCUCCAUCGGCACCCUCUCCCGCCCCACUUCCAUCGCUAGAAAACUAAGGAUUCGGUGUCGGGACCACUCCUGCCCUGCCCUGCCCUGCCCUGUGACUCCGUCAUACUCUCCAAAGGCCAGACCCUCCUAGACCAGCUGGAACCACCAUCAAGAUGUCCCCAGCCAUGUCAGACUCUGGGGCCCCAAGCGGAGGGCAACCAGAUGUCUUCAGCUCCAAGUCUGGCCUCUCCUCCCAGCAAGCAGCCACCUCUGAUGGCCAACAGGUGCUGCUGUGUGCCCAGAUCAAGAAUCCACCUCUGUGGAAUUCAAAACCGCUGAGGGUUCUGGGGCAGCAGGGAGGAGAGAGGUGGAGACGCAACAUGGGUUUUCUGUGUUCAGACUGCAGAGACCUUGGAAAGGAUCAACCAUAUACAAUGUCCAUUUCCUGCCCUCUAACCUGGCAGGGGAGCAAGGCCCAGCCAAGGAGGUAACAGAUUCCUCCAACACAAACCACACCUUCUUUCCCCACCCCCACCACCUCCACACCCAGCUGCCUCUGUGGGGACUUCAUGGGGAGAGUGCACACAGUGGGGCCUCAAAGGUUAUGUAGCUUGAAUAAAUGAUCCUCCAGG
rnacentral:sRNA from 1 species